GCAUUGUUGGGGUAGUGGUAACCUGGAUCGUUGCCAAUUACCACUUCGAUCCGCCCCGGGUUCAAUUCCCGGACAAUGCA